rnacentral:rRNA from 1 species
AUUGAACGCUGGCGGCAGGCCUAACACAUGCAAGUCGAGCGGCAGCGGGAAAGUAGCUUGCUACUUUUGCCGGCGAGCGGCGGACGGGUGAGUAAUGCCUGGGAAAUUGCCCAGUCGAGGGGGAUAACAGUUGGAAACGACUGCUAAUACCGCAUACGCCCUACGGGGGAAAGCAGGGGACCUUCUGGCCUUGCGCGAUUGGAUAUGCCCAGGUGGGAUUAGCUAGUUGGUGAGGUAAUGGCUCACCAAGGCGACGAUCCCUAGCUGGUCUGAGAGGAUGAUCAGCCACACUGGAACUGAGACACGGUCCAGACUCCUACGGGAGGCAGCAGUGGGGAAUAUUGCACAAUGGGGGAAACCCUGAUGCAGCCAUGCCGCGUGUGUGAAGAAGGCCUUCGGGUUGUAAAGCACUUUCAGCGAGGAGGAAAGGUUGAUGCCUAAUACGUAUCAACUGUGACGUUACUCGCAGAAGAAGCACCGGCUAAUUCCGUGCCAGCCGCCGCGGUAACAC